GAUGAACGCUGGCGGCGUGCCUAAUACAUGCAAGUCGAGCGAACAGACGAGGAGCUUGCUCCUUCGACGUUAGCGGCGGACGGGUGAGUAACACGUAGGUAACCUACCUAUAAGACUGGGAUAACUUCGGGAAACCGGAGCUAAUCCCGGAUAAUAUUUCGAACCGCAUGGUUCGAUAGUGAAAGAUGGCUUUGCUAUCACUUAUAGAUGGACCUGCGCCGUAUUAGCUAGUUGGUAAGGUAACGGCUUACCAAGGCAACGAUGCGUAGCCGACCUGAGAGGGUGCUCGGCCACACUGGAACUGAGGCACGGUCCAGACUCCUACGGGAGGCAGCAGUAGGGAAUCUUCCGCAAAGGGCGAAAGCCUGACGGAGCAACGCCGCGUGAGUGAUGAAGGUCUUCGGAUCGUAAAACUCUGUUAUUAGGGAAGAACAAACGUGUAAGUAACUGUGCACGUCUUGACGGUACCUAAUCAGAAAGCCACGGCUAACUACGUG
rnacentral:rRNA from 1 species